CAGCACCUCAAGUGGUAAGGAUGAUUAUUGGGCCUAAAGCAUCCGUAGCCGGCUCUGUAAGUUCUCGGUUAAAUCUGUACGCUCAACGUACAGGCUGCCGGGAAUACUGCAGAGCUAGGGAGUGGGAGAGGUAGACGGUACUCGGUAGGAAGGGGUAAAAUCCUUUGAUCUAUUGAUGACCACCUGUGGCGAAGGCGGUCUACCAGAACACGUCCGACGGUGAGGGAUGAAAGCUGGGGGAGCAAACCGGAUUAGAGACCCGAGUAGUCC
rnacentral:rRNA from 1 species